GGGGAUGGAUGAUAGACCAACAUUACAAUUUUUGCAUGGUCUGUAUCAUGAUUUGGGCAUACAGGAUCUUACAGUACAGACUAAUUAUGAUCAAGGCCCAUCUUCCCCAUUUUUUGGUUGAGAGUUGUGAAGAACAGCUUCAAAUUGAAGUCCUUCAUUUGUAAUUUUUAUCUUUUAUCUCACUCGUUAGAAAGAGACCUGUUACCGAUUGAGGGGAAGAUGGGCCUUGAUCAUAAUUAGU
rnacentral:misc_RNA from 1 species